rnacentral:pre_miRNA from 1 species
UUUAAGUGCAACCAUGAGUUUCCAUGUCCAACUUUGAUCGUCCGUUUUAUUUGAAUUUUUUUUAUAAUUAGUAUUUUUGUUGUUAUGAGAUGAUAAAAUAUGAACAAUACUUUAUUCAUGACUUAUGUUUUUAAAUUUUUUUAAAUAAGACGGACAAUUAAAAUUGGGCACGGAAAAUUAUGGCUACACUUAAA